CUGAUCUCAAAUCAGGUAGGACUACCCGCUGAACUUAAGCAUAUCAAUAAGCGGAGGAAAAGAAACUAACAAGGAUUCCCCUAGUAACUGCGAGUGAAGCGGGAAGAGCUCAAAUUUAAAAUCUGGCAGUCUUUGAUUGCCCGAGUUGUAGCCUAGAGAAGUGUCUUCCGCGCUGGACCGUGUACAAGUCUCUUGGAACAGAGCAUCAUAGAGGGUGAGAAUCCCGUCUUUGACACGGACUACCAGUGCUUUGUGAUGCGCUCUCAAAGAGUCGAGUUGUUUGGGAAUGCAGCUCAAAAUGGGUGGUAAAUUCCAUCUAAAGCUAAAUAUUGGCGAGAGACCGAUAGCGAACAAGUACCGUGAGGGAAAGAUGAAAAGCACUUUGGAAAGAGAGUUAAACAGUACGUGAAAUUGCUGAAAGGGAAACGCUUGAAGUCAGUCGUGUCAGUCAGAACUCAGCCUUGCUUUUUGCUUGGUGCAUUUUCUGAUUGAUAGGCCAGCAUCAGUUUUGGUCAUAGGAGAAAGGUUAGAGAAAUGUGGCACCCUCGGGUGUGUUAUAGUCUUUGACUGUAUACUAUGACUGAGACUGAGGAACUCAGCACGCGCAAGCUGUGCUUAGGAUGUUGGCGUAAUGGCUUUAAACGACCCGUCUUGAAACACGGACCAAGGAGUCUAACAUACCUGCGAGUGUUUGAGUGGCAAACUCGAGCGCGUAAUGAAAGUGAAAGUUGGGAUCUCUGUCGCGGAGAGCACCGACGCCCGGACCAGACCUUCUGUGACGGAUCUGAGGUAGAGCAUGUAUGUUGGGACCCGAAAGAUGGUGAACUAUGCCUGAAUAGGGUGAAGCCAGAGGAAACUCUGGUGGAGGCUCGUAGCGAUUCUGACGUGCAAAUCGAUCGUCAAAUUUGGGUAUAGGGGCGAAAGACUAAUCGAACCAUCUAGUAGCUGGUUCCUGC
rnacentral:rRNA from 1 species